GUAAAGACUUUCCCUCUAACAUCUAAUUUCCCUUCUUUUCGUUUAAAGCCGCCUCCUCCUCGCGCUAUCACUGACGAUCACAGUCAUUUUCCUACUACGCUGCGCUUUCCUCGCAGCCCCGACGGCGAUCCCGCUCCUCACACCCCAUUGCCGGGCGAGCCCGGCUGUAGGACGGAUCCUCCUUUCCGCCGGCUGAUCCCAUCCCGGCACGGCGCUGCCAGCCCCGCUCCGAGGCGGAGAUCCCGAGGGGUGAAGCGGGGCCGGGGGCUGCCCGGGGGGCGGCGGCCGCGAGGCACCCGUGUGGGCAGCGCGCAGCCGCAGUGCGGCCGCCGGCGGGUACAAAGCGGCGGUCGGAGCGCUGGGUGCCGGCGGCGGGGCCGGGCGGCAUUGCCCGCCCUCGCGGCGGGGCCCCCCGGGCGCGGAGCCCACAGGUAUGGGGUGAUGGUGCUGGGUUCCCCUGGAGCAGUGGACUCCUCGAAGCCAACAUUACUCGUUCCAAGGUUCAGCCCAUAAAUGAAGGGCCUCUUAAGUGACAGGUAAGAUCAUUCUGCUCUGCUUGCGGGAUAUGGAAAGCAUUGACCUCCCCUCAUGUUCCAUCCUUAUCGUGCAGGCAUGUGGAGGUGAAACAGCAAAGUUUAAAAUAGUGACUUGUCAAAUUAUUAUUAUUAACGAAAUUGGUUUUGCAGUGUAACGGCUGGGAGCUACCCCUGGAGUGAGGCAGUGUCAGAUGUGUCUGAGGUGCAUCAGCAUGGCUCUGCGUGCUGGGACUUCUGUCAGAGAUUGUAUUCGCUUCAAGAGCUGUUAAAUGAGGAAAGGAGGGGUUUCUUUCCAGAGCGUUUUUGGAACAGCUGCGUUAAAUAUCUCCAAGGACUGCAGACGAGUAAAUUUUCUGCAAAUGUUUCUCUUUUCAUCCCUGUCUCAGCAUAUGGUAACGCAGAGGACCUCUGAGGGUUACUCCCAGCCAAGCCGGUUUGGACAGAAAGAGCGAUGCAUCGGGGCUUUUCGCAGCUCGUCAGUGCUCGGCUAAGAGCUUGCCAAGAGGUGUUCUGGCUGGAGGAAAAGGGGGAAAAACAGUGCAUUCAGACUGUCGUCUCUUUUUGGCUUUUAUUGUGGCUGUCCUUUGUUACUUUUUAUAUCCCGCGAUGUUGAUGUUGGACAAAAGUAAGGGGACUUAGACGGCGCAUAAUUACUGACAGAACAACUUGAUGAAUUUUGCUUCUGGUUUUCCAUGCUUCCGACAGAAA
rnacentral:lncRNA from 1 species